rnacentral:rRNA from 1 species
AAUCAACGCUGGCGGCGCGCCUAACACAUGCAAGUCGAACGAGAAAGCCGGGGCAACCUGGUGAGUACAGUGGCGUACGGGUGAGUAACACGUGGGUAAUCUAACUCUUAGUGUGGAAUAACCCUGGGAAACCGGGGCUAAUACCGCAUAAGCCCGAGAGGGGAAAGCAGCAAUGCGCUGAGAGAGGAGCCCGCGGCCGAUUAGCUAGUUGGCAGGGUAAAAGCCUACCAAGGCAAAGAUCGGUAGCCGGCCUGAGAGGGCACACGGCCACACUGGCACUGAAACACGGGCCAGACUCCUACGGGAGGCAGCAGUGGGGAAUCUUGCACAAUGGGGGAAACCCUGAUGCAGCGACGCCGCGUGAGCGAUGAAGCCCUUCGGGGUGUAAAGCUCUUUCGGCAGGGAAGAUGAUGACGGUACCUGCAGAAGCAGCUGCGGCUAACUACGUGCCAGCAGCCGCGGUAAUACGUAGGCAGCAAGCGUUGUUCGGAGUUACUGGGCGUAAAGGGUGUGUAGGCGGUUGCUUAAGUUUGGUGUGAAAUCUCCCGGCUCAACUGGGAGGGUGCGCCGAAUACUGAGCGGCUAGAGUGCGGGAGAGGAGAGUGGAAUUCCUGGUGUAGCGGUGAAAUGCGUAGAUAUCAGGAGGAACACCGGUGGUGUAGACGGCUCUCUGGACCGUAACUGACGCUGAGACACGAAAGCGUGGGUAGCAAACAGGAUUAGAUACCCUGGUAGUCCACGCCCUAAACGAUGCAUAUUUGGUGUGGGUCAUUCAGUUGAUCCGUGCCGGAGCUAACGCGUUAAAUAUGCCGCCUGGGGAGUACAGUCGCAAGGCUG